rnacentral:tRNA from 2 species
GCGGUAGUAGCUCAGUUGGUAGAGCGCCGGCUUGUGGAGCCGGAUGUCACAGGUUCGAGCCCUGUCUACCGUACCA